rnacentral:rRNA from 1 species
CAUGUCCUUUUGAAAAUAAUUUAAGGUCUGAUCUGCUCAAUGAGGAGUUAAAUUGCCGCGGUAUUUUGACCGUGCGAAGGUAGCAUAAUAAUUAGUUUUUUUAUUGAAAGCUGGAAUGAAUGAUUGGACGAGAAAACAACUGUCUCUAUUAGAUUUAUUAUUGAAUUUAACUUUUAAGUGAAAAGGCUUAAAUUUUUCUAUAAGACGAGAAGACCCUAUAGAGUUUAAUAUUUUGUUUAAGUUAAAAAUUUUUGGAAUUAAUUAUUUUUACUUUUAAUAAUAUUUAGUUGGGGUGACUAGAAGAUUUAUUAAACUCUUCUAAUUUAUUAAUAUUGAUUUAUAGAUUUAAAUUCUGGGUUUUCCAAGUUUAAAAUUAAUUACCUUAGGGAUAACAGCGUAAUUUCUCUUUAGAGUUCUUAUUGGAAGGGAAGUUUGCGACCUCGAUGUUGGAUUAAAAUUAAUAUUGGGUGCAGUAGCUCAAUUAUUAGGUCUGUUCGACCUUUAAAAUUUUACAUGAUCUGAGU